GGGUGACUAGCUCAGGUGGUUAGAGCGCUAUCCUGAUAAGAUAGAGGUCCAUGGUUCGAGUCCAUGGUCACCCACCC
rnacentral:tRNA from 1 species